UACGAAGGGGGCUAGCGUUGCUCGGAAUCACUGGGCGUAAAGGGUGCGUAGGCGGGUCUUUAAGUCAGCGGUGAAAUCUCCGGGCUCAACCCGGAAACUGCCAUUGAUACUAUUGGUCUUGAAUGUUGUUGAGGUGGGCGGAACGGGUCAUGUAGCGGUGAAAUGCAUAGAUAUGACCCGGAACACCGAUUGCGAAGGCAGCCCACUAAGCAACGAUUGACGCUGAGGCACGAAAGCGUGGGGAUCAAACAGG
rnacentral:rRNA from 1 species